rnacentral:lncRNA from 10 species
GGGGCGGCUUGGGGCGGCGGGACCACUGGAGUGAGCUGUGGGAGAGAUGGGGGUGUGCCUGUGUGUAAAAGAUCUGUCAGAGUGUGAGGCUCCGUGAGAGGGUGUGGUUUCUGUGUGUGUGUGUGUGUGUGUGUGACAGACCGAGAGUCCAGUGUGAGACCAGGGUAUGUUCGUGUGUGACAGAGCGAGACGGGCCAGUGUGAGAGACCAGUGAGUGUGAGAGAGAUAGGGAUGUGCCUGCAUUUGAAAGAGAGCGUGUGAAGCUCAGUGAGAGGUUGCGAGGUGUGUGGGUGUGUAAGUGUGUAACAGACCAGGUGUCCAGAGCGUGAGACCAGGAUGUAUUCGUGUGAGAGAGUGAGACGGGCUGGAUGGAGUGUGAGAGACCAGUGAGUGUGAGAGAUGGGCGUGUGCCUGUGUGUGAAAGGCCGGUCGGUCGGUGGGUGAGGCUCAAUGAGAGGCCGGUGUGUGUUCGAGAGAGAGAAGAAUCACCAUGUAUGCGAGACUAGACUGUGCAAGAACAGAGUGUGAGACUGUGGUAUGUUAAUGUGUGAAAGGGAGACCAGUGAGUGUGAGAAAUGGGUGUUUUGGGUGAAAGACCCGUCAGUGUGUGAGGCCGUGUUAUGUGUGUCUGACAGACUGAGAGAGACCAGAGUGUGAGACCAGGGUGUGUUCGUGUGUGAGAGACAACAUAGCGUGAGACCAGUGAGUGUGAGAGAGAUGAGCACGUGGCUGUGUGUGAAAGACCAGUCAUUAUGUGAGGCUCCUUGAGAGGCUGGUGUGUGUGUAUGAGAGAGAGAAAGAGACUAAACUGUGAGAGUCCAAAGAGUGAGACUAGGUUAUGUUGUUAUGAGUUUGUGAGAGAGAGGGAGGCGAUCAAAGUAUAGGACAAAGUUAUGUUUCCUGGCUUACGACUUCUAAGAUCCUUGGAAUCUCCAAAGUAUUAAGUGUCUUUUUGCAUGCUAAUGAUUGGUGGGCUGGCAGCCUGUAGGUUGAUCACGGUAAGGGAUGGUCACAAGAACAAUCUAGGCAGGAUUAGAGGGUUGGGAUUACCUGCCCCAUCCCUCAAUCUCCAGGGAAAGGAAAGGGAGCCACAGGUUAAACUGAUCAUCAGUGGUCAGUGAUUUAACCAGUCAUGCCUACAUUAUGAAGCUUCCAUAAAAACCCAAAAGGACUGGGUUCAUCAAACUUCCAGAUAGCUGAACACUGGAGGUUCCUGUAGGAUGAGCCCCUUCCUAUAUAACCUUGUCCUAUGCAUUUCUUCACCUGCAUCCUUUGUAAUAUCCUUUAUUACUACAAACGUGUUUCCCUAAGUUCUGUGAGCUGCCCUAGCAAAUUAAUUGAACGCAAGGAGGGGGUCAUAGGAACCCCGAUUUAUAGCUAGUCAGAAGCACAAGUAAAACAACCUGGGGUUUGCAACUGGCAUUGGAAGUGGGGAGCAAUUUUGUAGGGCUGAGCCCUCAACCUGUGGGAUCUUAUGCUGUCUCCAGGUAGAUAGUGUCAGAAUUGGGUUGCCCUAGAGGUCACCCACCUGGUAUUCACUGGGUUGCCCUAGAGGUCACCCACCUGGUAUUCACUGAAGAACUUAUUGCUUGCCUGGUGUGUGUGUGUGUGUGUGUGUGUGUGUGUGUGUGUGUGUAGAUCCCCACACAUCUGGUCUUAGAACUGUUUUGUGUUGUGUGAGUGGAGUAGGAGAAACAGUUUGUUUUUCCUCUUUGUCACCUGAGUGUGUUAUCAGGGACUGGAUUGUGAGAAUCCAGAGUGUGAGACCAGGGUAUAUCAAUGUGUGAGAGAAAUAGAUGUGCCUGUGUGAAAGAUGAACAAGUAUGAGGCUCCCUGGAGUCUGAGAAAGAUCAUGUGUGUGUCUGAGUAAAAGCAAGAGACUAGACUGAGAGUUCAGUGAUUGGGAGAGACUGGGGUAUGUUGGUGUGAGUGUGUGAGAGACCAAUGGGUAUGUGAGAGACUAGAGUAUGUCUCUGUCUGGACUGGUAGGUUGUGAGAGGGUGUAUCACAGUAUGAAAAAGAUUGGAGUGAGAGUGACCAGUAUGUAUUUUGUGUGCAUGAGAUAAAGCAGUUGGAAUAUGAGAGAUCAGAGUGUGUUUGUGUAUCUGUGUGAGACACUGGAGCAUUUGAGUAACUGAGGCCUCUUUGAAAGAUACCAUUGAAUGUGUAUGUAUGAGAGACCAUCAUGUUUAUAUGUGUGAAAGAGGGAGAGAAAGACUAGUGAUGUGGUUGUGUGAGAGACCAAAAUGGGUGAGAAAGAAACUAUGUGAACCAUGGUGUGUUAUCCAAAAGGCUUUACAAAUAUAACCUCUGUGAGGUUGUGAAGCAUGCAUGUGUGAGUGAGACAGAGAUAAGGGACAGUGAGCUGUGUGUGUGAGAGAAGUAAGAUUGGGGGUAUGUGUGAAGGUGUUGGUGAAUCACCACGUGUGCUUAUAUUCAUGUCCUCAGGCAAUGGAAAUGUGACUGUGUAUAUGUGCUUGUUUUGGGGUGCUUGUGAUUGUGUCCUCCGUGUGACCAUGAAACCUGUGUUAGUGUUUGUAUGUCACCCUGUAUACCCAUAAUUGUGGCCCUGUAUGACUGCUGUGUAUGGAGAGACUACUUGGAAGAUUGAUAGGAUUGGAUUCUUUAUGAGUGUGGCUGUUUGGAAUUGUGUGUUGCCGGGAUAGGAAAUGUGGAAUAGAAUUCCUGUCCCCAGUCCAAGGGUUUCAGUAAGAAGCAAAGCUGGGGUGACUGAAGCUCCUAACUGAAGCAGGAGACACCCUCACUUCUGUGUGACAGGAGGGUAAUUAAGGGGCUGGGACAGAGCCUUGCCCUCCCAAGACACUGUUCUUCAAGAGAAAGACCAGAAGAGAAGGCAAAAAUGAAUGUUGAAGUAGUAAAAGUCAUGCCCCAGGACUUAGUGACAUUCAAGGAUGUGGCAAUAGAUUUUUCCCAGGAAGAAUGGCAAUGGAUGAACCCUGCUCAGAAGCGUUUAUACAGGAGUAUGAUGUUGGAGAACUAUCAGAGCCUGGUAUCACUUGGUCUUUGCAUUUCUAAGCCAUAUGUGAUCUCCUUAUUGGAGCAAGGGAGAGAGCCUUGGGAGAUGACGAG